rnacentral:rRNA from 1 species
GCGUGGGUGAUGAAGGCCUUCGGGUUGUAAAGCCCUUUCGGCGGGGACGAUGAUGACGGUACCCGCAGAAGAAGCCCCGGCUAACUUCGUGCCAGCAGCCGCGGUAAUACGAAGGGGGCUAGCGUUGUUCGGAAUGACUGGGCGUAAAGGGCGCGUAGGCGGCGAUGUAAGUCAGGCGUGAAAGCCCCGGGCUCAACCUGGGAACGGCGCUUGAUACUGCGUUGCUUGAGGACGGGAGAGGAUGGUGGAAUUCCCAGUGUAGAGGUGAAAUUCGU